rfam:Sulfolobus solfataricus P2, complete genome.
GGACCCGUAGCUCAGCCAGGACGGAGCGCCGGCCUUCUAGCGUCUAAGGAGGAUAGCCGGCGGUCCCGGGUUCAAAUCCCGGCGGGUCCG